rnacentral:rRNA from 1 species
AGUGAACGCUGGCGGCAGGCCUAACACAUGCAAGUCGAACGGAAGCACAGUAAGAGUUUGCCCCUAAGGGUGGCGAGGGGCGGGCGGGUGAGAAAUAGAUAACCAUCCACUUUUUCGUGGGGGACCACGUGGGGAAACUUACGAUACUACCGAAUACGUUCAACGGGUGAAUGCAGGGGUGAUUCGCACCUUGCGCGAUUGUAUGAGACGAUGUCGGAUUAGCUAGUUGGCGGGGUAAAGGCACACCAAGGCGACGAUCCGUAGCUGGUCUGAGAGGAUGAUCAGCCAUACUGGAACUGAGACACGGUCCAGACUCCUACGGGAGGCAGCAGUGGGGAAUAUUGGACAAUGGGCGCAAGCCUGAUCCAGCCAUACCGCGUGGGUGAAGAAGGCCUUCGGGUUGCAAAGCCCUUUUGUUGGGAAAGAAAAGCAGCAGGUGAAUACCCCGCUGUUCUGACGGUACCCAAAGAAUAAGCACCGGCUAACUACGUG